AGCAGCCGCGGUAAUUCCAGCUCCAAUAGCGUAUAUUAAAGUUGCUGCAGUUAAAAAGCUCGUAGUUGAAUUUCGGGACUAAUAUGUCGGUCGUGCCUCGGUACGUACUGGCUUAUUGGUUUCUCUUUUCUGAAGAACCAUGAUGUCAUUUAUUUGGUGUCGUGGGGAAUCAGGACUGUUACUUUGAAAAAUUAGAGUGUUUAAAGCAGGCUCACGCUUGAAUACAUUAGCAUGGAAUAAUGAAAUAGGACGUUUGAUUCUAUUUUGUUGGUUUCUAGGAUCGACGUAAUGAUUAAUAGGGAUAGUUGGGGGCAUUAGUAUUCAAUUGUCAGAGGUGAAAUUCUUGGAUUUAUUGAAGACUAACUACUGCGAAAGCAUUUGCCAAGGAUGUUUUCAUUAAUCAAGAACGAAAGUUAGGGGAUCGAAGACGAUCAGAUACCGUCGUAGUCUUAACCAUAAACUAUGC
rnacentral:rRNA from 1 species